rnacentral:rRNA from 1 species
GACGAACGCUGGCUGCGUGCCUAAUACAUGCAAGUAAGACGCAGUUGCGAACGGGUGAGUAACGCGUGGGUCACUGCCGAUUAGAGGGGGAUAACUCGUGGAAACGAUAGCUAAUACAGCAUACUAGUGGAUCAACCUGCUUUUGAUUAGCUAGUAGGGCGGGUAAUGGCAUACCUAGGCGACGAUACAUAGCCGCACGGCGUGUGGGAUCGGCAACAUUGGGACUGAGACACGUCCCUGACUCCUCCGGGAUGCAGCAGUAGGGAAUCUGCGGCAAUGUGGGGAACCCCGACCGAGCAACGCCGCGUGAGUUAAGAAGGUUUUCGGAUCGUAAAGCUCUGUUGUUAAUGAAGCGGUACUUAACCAGAAAGGGACGGCUAACUACGUGCCAGCAGCCGCGGUAAUUC